rnacentral:tRNA from 1 species
AAAGCUAUUGGGUUCAUACCCCACUUAUAAAGGUUUUAAUCCUUU